CAGGUUCCUAGAGGCAUUAAAGCUGUGCCUACUGUUGUCACUUGUGCAUCAAUAGGUGGCAGAGAGGAGAGAGGCCAUGUCUAUGCUCAGUGUUCUGACCAAUGCACAUCUGAAUGAUUAGUAGCCUCAUAUU